rnacentral:tRNA from 1 species
GCCCCGGUAGCUCAGUGGGAAGAGCUCUGCCCACGGAUUGGGUGGGGGGUCGUGGGUUCGAAUCCCACUCGGGAUU